AUGGGAUACCUAAAUUUCCCAUGGCAAACUGCUCAGUAACACAUGAUCAACUUACCCUAUAGAGAAAAAUAACCUCGGGAAACUGAGGAUAAUGUUUCAUAGUUGAAUAGGCUUGGAAAAGUUAUUCAAUAAAAGGGAUAAAAAAAGUGGUUUUUAUCUGCUAUAGGAUAGGAUCGUGGACGAUUAUGGUUGUUGGUGAGGUAAAGGCUCACCAAGCCGAUAAUCGAUAGGGGCCGUGAGAGCGGGAGCCCCGAGAUGGGUACUGAGACAACGACCCAGGCCUUACGAGGCGCAGCAGGCGCGGAACCUCCGCAAUACACGAAAGUGUGACGGGGUUACCCAAAGUGUUCAAUUUUGAACUGUGGUAGGUGAGUAAUGUCCCCUACUAGAAAGGAGAGGGCAAGGCUGGUGCCAGCCGCCGCGGUAAAACCAGCUCUUCAAGUGGUCGGGAUAAUUAUUGGGCUUAAAGUGUCCGUAGCCGGUUUAGUAAGUUCCUGGUAAAAUCGGGUAGCUUAACUAUCUGUAUGCUAGGAAUACUGCUAUACUAGAGGGCGGGAGAAGUCUGAGGUACUACAGGUGUAGGGGUGAAAUCU
rnacentral:rRNA from 1 species